rnacentral:rRNA from 1 species
CAAGUUCGAACGCCCCGCAAGGGGAGUGGCAGACGGGUGAGUAACGCGUGGGAAACUACCUAGUUCUACGGAACAACAGUCGGAAACGACCGCUAAUACCGUAUACGCCCUACGGGGGAAAGACCAUCGGAAUCAGAUGAGCCCGCGUAAGAUUAGCUAGUUGGUGAGGUAAUGGCUCACCAAGGCGACGAUCUUUAGCUCGGUCUGAGAGGAUGAUCAGCCACACUGGGACUGAGACACGGCCCAGACUCCUACGGGAGGCAGCAGUGGGGAAUAUUGGACAAUGGGCGCAAGCCUGAUCCAGCCAUGCCGCGUGAGUGAUGAAGGCCUUAGGGUUGUAAAGCUCUUUCACCGAUGAAGAUAAUGACGGUAGUCGGAGAAGAAGCCCCGGCUAACUUCGUG